GACGAACGCUGGCGGCGUGCCUAACACAUGCAAGUCGAACGAAGCAUAGCAAUAUGCUUAGUGGCGGACGGGUGAGUAACGCGUGAACAAUCUGCCCUGUACAAAGGAAUAGCCUCGGGAAACCGGGAUUAAAACCGUAUGACACUUUAGUAUCGCAUGAUAAGAAAGUCAAAUCGAUUAGAGGUAUGGGAUGAGUUCGCGUCUGAUUAGCUGGUUGGCGGGGUAACGGCCCACCAAGGCGACGAUCAGUAGCCGGCCUGAGAGGGUGAACGGCCACACUGGAACUGAGACACGGUCCAGACUCCUACGGGAGGCAGCAGUGGGGAAUAUUGCACAAUGGAGGGAACUCUGAUGCAGCGACGCCGCGUGAGUGAAGAAGGUCUUCGGAUCGUAAAACUCUGUCCUUGGUGAAGAAAAGGACGGUAGCCAAGGAGGAAGCCCCGGCUAACUACGUGCCAGCAGCCGCGGUAAACGUAGCGUG
rnacentral:rRNA from 1 species